rnacentral:rRNA from 1 species
GACGAACGCUGGCGGCGUGCCUAAUACAUGCAAGUCGAACGCUUCUUUCCUCCCGAGUGCUUGCACUCAAUUGGAAAGAGGAGUGGCGGACGGGUGAGUAACACGUGGGUAACCUACCCAUCAGCGGGGGAUAACACUUGGAAACAGGUGCUAAUACCGCAUAACAGUUUAUGCCGCAUGGCAUAAGAGUGAAAGGCGCUUUCGGGUGUCGCUGAUGGCUGGACCCGCGGUGCAUUAGCUAGUUGGUGAGGUAACGGCUCACCAAGGCCACGAUGCAUAGCCGACCUGAGAGGGUGAUCGGCCACACUGGGACUGAGACACGGCCCAGACUCCUACGGGAGGCAGCAGUAGGGAAUCUUCGGCAAUGGACGAAAGUCUGACCGAGCAACGCCGCGUGAGUGAAGAAGGUUUUCGGAUCGUAAAACUCUGUUGUUAGAGAAGAACAAGGACGUUAGUAACUGAACGUCCCCUGACGGUAUCUAACCAGAAAGCCACGGCUAACUACGUG